ACAAUAUUAAGAAAACAAAUA
rnacentral:snRNA from 1 species